rnacentral:rRNA from 1 species
GACGAACGCUGGCGGCGUGCUUAACACAUGCAAGUCGAACGAAGUGGCGACCGGGUGAGUAACGCGUAAUCAACCUGCCCUUCAGAGGGGGCCAACAGUUGGAAACGACUGCUAAUACCGCAUACUGAAGGAGGGGCGUGCGUCUGAUUAGCUAGUUGGAGGGGUAACGGCCCACCAGGGCGAUGAUCAGUAGCCGGUCUGAGAGGAUGAACGGCAAAAUGGGGACUGAGAAACGGCCCAGACUCCUACGGGAGGCAGACGGUGGGAAUCUUCCGCCAUGGACGAAAGUCUGACGGAGCAACGCCGGGUGAGUGAUGACGGCCUUCGGGUUGUAAAGCUCUGUUAAUCGGGACGCGGUACCGGAAUAGAAAGCCACGGCUAACUACGUGCCAGCCGCCGCGGUAAUUC